UACAGAGGGUGCAAGCGUUGCUCGGAAUUACUGGGCGUAAAGCGUGUGUAGGCGGUCCUUAAAGUGGGGUGUGAAAGCCCUGGGCUCAACCCAGGAACUGCGCCCCAAACUGCAGGACUUGAGUGUCGGAGAGGAUAGUGGAAUUCCCAGUGUAGAGGUGAAAUUCGUAGAUAUUGGGAGGAACACCAGUGGCGAAGGCGGCUAUCUGGACGAACACUGACGCUGAGACACGAAAGCGUGGGGAGCAAACAGG
rnacentral:rRNA from 1 species